rnacentral:lncRNA from 1 species
CCGAGCCGGGCACGGCGGCGGGCGGGGAGGAGCGGGUGAGCCCGCCCCGAGGGGUCCGGGGGACGCCGGGGGCCGGGCGGGCUGCGAGGGCGGGGGGCGGACGGGACGGGACCGUGUCUCUUCCCCGCACCGCCGGGCCGGCGACACGGAGGCUCCCGGCUCGCUGCCGCCCCGCCAUGGCUCCCAGCUCCGAGCGGCUCUUCGACUCCCUGGGACACUUCGGCAGGGUCUUGGGAUGUGCAUGAACAACCAUAAGAAGCAGUUCCUGCCAGACCCUGCCCAUGGGCUCUUGCUUCCUGCGCCCCCUUUCUGCCCAACCACUCCAAUUGCAAUGACUCACUCAUAUGCGUAUCAGGUAAAGAGCAGGCAUGUGGUCAGCCACCUGCUGCCAUGGACAGCCAGCAUACUAGGAAAGGGGAAAAAUGACUGGCGGGCUUAAGGUCAGCAGCAGAGCUCACCUGUGUCCUGGCAGAUCUGUAUGCCAGCGGAGGCAGCGUGUGCUAUUUGGCCUGCACCAUGUGCACAUCUCCUGUACCUGCUGGCUUUUGGCUGCCCAGCCAGCAUGUGCAACUAUUCAGGUUGGGAAGCACACCUUAGGACCUGGCUGGCUGGCUCACACUGCCUUACAUCUAGUUCCCAGACUGUACGUUUCGCAGCUCUGA